UUGUCAUCUAUAGGCUUUUGGUUUUUUCAUAGGUUACAUGAGAUACCAAGUGCCGCCUUCUUGUAGGCUAUUCCCCCUCACCCCCAAUUCACAUAUUGAAGUCCUAACCCCCAAUACCUAAGAAUGUGACUGGAUUUGGAGAUAAGACUUUUAAAGAGACAGGUACAGAGAAAAGACCAUGUGAAGAUAUAGGGAGAAGAUGGCCAUCUACAAGCCAACGAGAGAGGCUUCGGGAGAAACCAACACUGCUGACACAUUGAUCUUGGACUUCUAGCCUCCAGAAAUGUGUCAGUGGCUCUAACCACCCACCCUACCUCCUGUGCCCUCCUGCCCCCAGCCCUGGUCCACAAACCUGGAGGAACUCCAAAACAAAGAGGCUUUCAACAUGUAGACCCAUCGACCUUCAAAUUCCAACCUGGA